rnacentral:rRNA from 1 species
CGCGUGAGCAAUCUGUCCCAGAAUGGGGGAUAACAGAUGGAAACAUCUGCUAAUACCGCAUAAGACCACGAGGUCACAUGGCCUUGAGGUAAAAGGAGCAAUCCGAUCUGGGGUGAGCUCGCGUCCGAUUAGCCAGUUGGCGGGGUAACGGCCCACCAAAGCGACGAUCGGUAGCCGGCCUGAGAGGGCGAUCGGCCACACUGGAACUGAGAGACGGUCCAGACUCCUACGGGAGGCAGCAGUGGGGAAUAUUGGGCAAUGGGGGAAACCCUGACCCAGCAACGCCGCGUGAGGGAAGAAGGUUUUCGGAUUGUAAACCUCUGUCCUUGGUGACGAAGGAAGUGACGGUAACCAAGGAGGAAGCCCCGGCUAACUACGUGCCAGCAGCCGCGGUAAUACGUAGGGGGCAAGCGUUGUCCGGAAUGACUGGGCGUAAAGGGCGUGUAGGCGGCCGAUUAAGUCUGGAGUGAAAGUCCUGCUUUCAAGGUGGGAAUUGCUUUGGAGACUGGUUGGCUUGAGUGCGGAAGAGGUAAGUGGAAUUCCCAGUGUAGCGGUGAAAUGCGUAGAGAUUGGGAGGAACACCAGUGGCGAAGGCGACUUACUGGGCCGUAACUGACGCUGAGGCGCGAAAGCGUGGGGAGCGAACAGGAUUAGAUACCCUGGUAGUCCACGCGGUAAACGAUGAAUGCUAGGUGUAGCGGGUAUCGACCCCUGCUGUGCCGCAGUAAACACAAUAAGC